rnacentral:rRNA from 1 species
GAUGAACGCUAGCGGCAGGCUUAAUACAUGCAAGUCGAGGGGCAGCAUGAUUGUAGCAAUACAAUUGAUGGCGACCGGCAAACGGGUGCGGAACACGUACACAACCUUCAAAUAAGUGGGGAAUAGCCCAGAGAAAUUUGGAUUAAUACCCCGUAACAUAACGAUGUGGCAUCACAUUGUUAUUAUAGAUUUUUCGCUUAUUGAUGGGUGUGCGGCUGAUUAGAUAGUUGGCGGGGUAACGGCCCACCAAGUCUACGAUCAGUAGCUGAUGUGAGAGCAUGAUCAGCCACACGGGCACUGAGACACGGGCCCGACUCCUACGGGAGGCAGCAGUAAGGAAUAUUGGACAAUGGACGCAAGUCCGAUCCAGCCAUGCCGCGUGAAGGAUUAAGGUCCUCUGGAUUGUAAACUUCUUUUAUAAGGGACGAAAAAAGGCUUUUCUAAGUCGUCUGACGGUACCUUAUGAAUAAGCACCGGCUAACUCCGUGCCAGCAGCCGCCGCGGUAA